rnacentral:rRNA from 1 species
GACGAACGCUGGCGGCGUGCCUAAUACAUGCAAGUUGAGCGAUGAAGAUUGGUGCUUGCACCAAUUUGAAGAGCAGCGAACGGGUGAGUAACGCGUGGGGAAUCUGCCUGUGAGCGGGGGACAACAUUUGGAAACGAAUGCUAAUACCGCAUAACAACUUUAAACAUAAGUUUGAAGUUUGAAAGAUGCAAUUGCAUCACUCAAAGAUGAUCCCGCGUUGUAUUAGCUAGUUGGUGAGGUAAAGGCUCACCAAGGCGAUGAUACAUAGCCGACCUGAGAGGGUGAUCGGCCACAUUGGGACUGAGACACGGCCCAAACUCCUACGGGAGGCAGCAGUAGGGCAUCUUCGGCAAUGGACGAAAGUCUGACCGAGCAACGCCGCGUGAGUGAAGAAGGUUUUCGGAUCGUAAAACUCUGUUGGUAGAGAAGAACGUUGGUGAGAGUGGAAAGCUCAUCAAGUGACGGUAACUACCCAGAAAGGGACGGCUAACUACGUG